rnacentral:rRNA from 1 species
UGCCGGCGACCGGCGACGGGUGCGUAACGCGUAUGUAACCUACCUUUGACAGGGGGAUAACAUCGAGAAAUUGGUACUAAUACCCCAUAACAUCACCGGAGGCAUCUUCGGUGGUUGAAAACUCAGGUGGUCAGAGAUGGACAUGCGUUGUAUUAGCUAGUUGGUGAGGUAACGGCUCACCAAGGCGACGAUACAUAGGGGGACUGAGAGGUUAACCCCCCACAUUGGUACUGAGACACGGACCAAACUCCUACGGGAGGCAGCAG